GAUGAACGCUGGCGGCGUGCUUAACACAUGCAAGUCGAACGAUUAAACUGGCUUCGGCCAGAUAUAGAGUGGCGAACGGGUGAGUAACACGUGACCAACCUGCCCCGCGCUCCGGGACAACCGCUGGAAACGGCGGCUAAUACCGGAUGCUCCGGGGAGGCCCCAUGGCCUCCCCGGGAAAGCCUUAACGGCGCGGGAUGGGGUCGCGGCCCAUUAGGUAGACGGCGGGGUAACGGCCCACCGUGCCCGCGAUGGGUAGCCGGACUGAGAGGUCGACCGGCCACAUUGGGACUGAGAUACGGCCCAGACUCCUACGGGAGGCAGCAGUGGGGAAUUUUGCGCAAUGGGGGCAACCCUGACGCAGCAACGCCGCGUGCGGGACGAAGGCCUUCGGGUUGUAAACCGCUCUCAGCAGGGAAGACUUUGACGGUACCUGCAGA
rnacentral:rRNA from 1 species